AAAUGAAUAGACGGGGGCCCGCACAAGCGGUGGAGCAUGUGGUUUAAUUCGACGAUACCCGAAGAACCUUACCUGGGUUUGACAUGUAUUUGACUGGCAUAGAGAUAUGCCUUCCUUUAUGGCAGAUACACAGGUGUUGCAUGGUCGUCGUCAGCUCGUGUUGUGAGAUGUUGGGUUAAGUCCCGCAACGAGCGCAACCCUUACCUUCUGUUGCUACCAGGUAAUGCUGGGCACUCUGAAGGAACCGCCGGUGACAAACCGGAGGAAGGUGAGGAUGACGUCAGAUCAGCAUGGCCUUUAUGUCCAGGGCUACACACGUGCUACAAUGGUCGGUACAGAGGGCAGCGAAGCAGCGAUGCGGAGCAAAUCCCAGAAAGCCGAUCACAGUUCGGAUUGAAGUCUGCAACUCGACUUCAUGAAGCCGGAAUCGCUAGUAAUCGCAGAUCAGCUAAGCUGCGGUGAAUACGUUCCCGGGCCUUGUACACACCGCCCGU
rnacentral:rRNA from 1 species